rnacentral:sRNA from 1 species
AAGAAGAAGGAAAAAAAAAAAUCAAAUCAAG